AUUACUAAGCGGAGGAAAAGAAACUAACUAGGAUUCCCCUAGUAACGGCGAGUGAAGCGGGAAGAGCCCAGCACCGAAUCCCCUGCCCUUGGGUAGAGGGACCUGUGGUGUUUGGGACGUCGACUGUGCGUGUCGUCUGUCGUCCGAGUCCUCCUGAUCGGGGCCCCACCCAGAGCGGGUGUCAGGCCUCUACGACGACGGGUGGCCGCGCUCUAGGCGUCCUAGGAGUCGGGUUGUUUGGGAUUGCAGCCCAAAGUGGGUGGUAAACUCCAUCUAAGGCUAAAUACUGACACGAGUCCGAUAGCAGACAAGUACCGUGAGGGAAAGUU
rnacentral:rRNA from 1 species